GACGAACGCUGGCGGCGUGCUUAACACAUGCAAGUCGAACGGUUAACGAGGGAGCUUGCUCCCUCCGGACCAGUGGCGAACGGGUGAGUCACACGUAAGCAAUCUCCCCCGAACUCUGGGAUAAGCGAUGGAAACGACGUCUAAUGCCGGAUACGACGCGUGACGGCAUCCUCCCCGCGUAGAAAGAACUUCGUAUGGGGAGGAGAUGGGGCGCUUUCAGCUUGUGGGGGAGGUAAGGGCUCACCAAGGCGACGACGGGUAGCCGGCCUGAGAGGGUGACCGGACACGCUGGGACUGGGACACGGCCCAGCCUAGUACGGGAGGCAGCAGUGGGGAAUAGUGCACAAUGGGAGGAAGCCUGAUGCAGCAACGCCGCGUGAGGGAAGACGGCACUCGGGUUGUAAACCUCUUUUAGCAGGGAAGAAGCGAAAGUGACGGUACCUGAAGAAAAAGCACCGGCUAACUACGUG
rnacentral:rRNA from 1 species